GAUGAACGCUGGCGGUAUGCUUAACACAUGCAAGUCGAACGGAAGUCUUCGGACUUUAGUGGCGGACGGGUGAGUAACGCGUGAGAAUCUGCCUAUAGGUUGGGGACAACAGAUGGAAACGUCUGCUAAUACCCGAUGUGCCGAGAGGUAAAAGCUUUAGUGCCUGUAGAUGAGCUCGCGUCCGAUUAGCUAGUUGGUUAGGUAAAAGCUGACCAAGGCGACGAUCGGUAGCUGGUCUGAGAGGAUGAUCAGCCACACUGGGACUGAGACACGGCCCAGACUCCUACGGGAGGCAGCAGUGGGGAAUUUUCCGCAAUGGGCGAAAGCCUGACGGAGCAAUACCGCGUGCGGGACGAAGGCUUUUGGGUCGUAAACCGCUUUUGUUAGGGAAGAACACAAUGACGGUACCUAACGAAUCAGCAUCGGCUAACUCCGUGCCAGCAGCCGCGGUAAUACGGAGGAUGCAAGCGUUAUCCGGAAUUAUUGGGCGUAAAGUGUCCGCAGGUGGUUUAUCAAGUCUGCUGUUAAAGCAUGGGGCUUAACCCCAUAUCGGCAGUGGAAACUGAGAGACUAGAGUACGGUAGGGGUAGCGGGAAUUCCCAGUGUAGCGGUGAAAUGCGUAGAUAUUGAGAGAACACCAGCGGCGAAGGCGCGCUACUGGGCGAAACUGACACUCAUGGACGAAAGCUAGGGGAGCGAAAGGGAUUAGAUACCCCUGUAGUCCUAGCUGUAAACGAUGACAACUAGGUGUUGCGCG
rnacentral:rRNA from 1 species